rnacentral:rRNA from 1 species
CCUACGGGUGGCAGCAGUGAGGAAUAUUGGUCAAUGGACGCAAGUCUGAACCAGCCAUGCCGCGUGCAGGAAGACGGCUCUAUGAGUUGUAAACUGCUUUUGUACGAGGGUAAACGCAGAUACGCGUAUCUGUCUGCAAGUAUCGUACGAAUAAGGAUCGGCUAACUCCGUGCCAGCAGCCGCGGUAAUACGGAGGAUUCAAGCGUUAUCCGGAUUUAUUGGGUUUAAAGGGUGCGUAGGCGGUCGGGUAAGUUAGAGGUGAAAUCCCGGGGCUCAACUUCGGAAUUGCCUCUGAUACUGUUCGGCUAGAGAGUAGGUGAGGUAGGCGGAAUGUAUGGUGUAGCGGUGAAAUGCUUAGAGAUCAUGAAGAACACCGAUUGCGAAGGCAGCUUACCAAGCUACUUCUGACGUUGAGGCACGAAAGCGUGGGGAGCAAACAGGAUUAGAUACCCGAGUAGUC